rnacentral:rRNA from 1 species
UCCAUUGGGAAAUCCACGCGCUCAACGCGUGGGCGUCCAGCGGAAACUGUCUGGCUUGGGGCCGGAGGACUCGAGGGGUACGUCUGGGGUAGGAGUGAAAUCCCGUAAUCCUGGACGGACCACCGGUGGCGAAAGCGCCUCGAGAGGACGGACCCGACAGUGAGGGACGAAAGCCAGGGUCUCGAACCGGAUUAGAUACC